UCCUUUUGGCCUCUCCAUCGUCCAACUUCCUAUUCUGCCUGAGCGCCAAGAACUUCAGCUGCCAAUCAUACCAGACUGUCAUCCAGGUAUUCAGCAACCAAACGCAAUCCACGGAGAGAAAAAUACAGCAAAGAGUCUACACACACUUUGUCAAACCAUUCCUCUCAAGAAAUGACUCCUCAGAUCCUGGCUGU